rnacentral:rRNA from 1 species
UACGUAGGGUGCGAGCGUUGUCCGGAAUUAUUGGGCGUAAAGAGCUCGUAGGCGGUUUGUCGCGUCGGCCGUGAAAACUUGGGGCUUAACCCCAAGCCUGCGGUCGAUACGGGCAGACUAGAGUUCGGUAGGGGAGACUGGAAUUCCUGGUGUAGCGGUGAAAUGCGCAGAUAUCAGGAGGAACACCGGUGGCGAAGGCGGGCUCUGG